AUGGUUUCUCCAAAAAAGGAGAAAAGAACCAAUCCAGAGGCUCAGUCACAGUCAGAAGCUUGCAAAAAGACAGAUAUUAAAACUAAACCAAUAAAAUCUGGAAAACUUGCUCCGAGGACAAAGAAUGGCCCAACUCUCCCUUGUGGUUACUCCGAGCAGCAGCAGGAUGUCCCAGCCAGGCGCUGUCUCUGGCAUGUCCUAGUGUCCCCGCCGAUGCCCGCAGGCUGUCGCCCACGGCUGGAGGACACAGUUCCCCCUCGGGUGGUGAAGGCACAAGGAGCACCGAGCACCUGUAAAUCACAAAAAAAGUGCCCCAAAAUAUCACCGAUCUGGGCUCCACAGAUCCACUCCCGCCAGGCUCAGCAUGUUCCUGCUGAAGGCCAAGGACAUUUAGUAGCCACGUUUGGGAGGAGAAAGGACUGCUGGCUUUUUGUGCAGCGAAGCCACGGGCACGGAGCUGCGGGUGAGAUUCCCAGCAGCUUCCAAAGGCGAUGGCCAGCCCUCGGCCCCUCUGCCUCCUUCCUUCCUUGCAUCCAGACCCACGCAGCCCCUGCUGCUCUCGGUGGGGAGAUGUGGGCACGUGUGCCCCGCACAGGUACAGGCACCGCGGAGGCUCGCCAAGCGCGGGCACAAACCCAGCUGCCAUAUGGGAAAGGGGAGGGAAGGAGCUGGGAAAGAGCCCGUUCCUGGCUUUUCCCGAGGUUUGGCGUGCACAAUUCCAGUGCUGAUAAAACAGGGAGGGGGCAGGAAGGCUCAUGGCGGCCGCAGGGAGUUUUGAGUCAAGUGAACUCGCUGCUAAUCCUCUUCUACAGGGUCUUUCUUGCGGGAGGAAAUCUUAUGACUCCGGGGAGAAGUAUGUUGUGUAACCAAGCAAUGGUGAACCUGAGUUGCAUUUCACAGGGCUUGGCACAGGCAGGAGAGAGUAGGGUACUCAUCCCCAGAGAGCGUGAGAGAGACCGUCCCAGUGCAUCGCCCGUCGGCUUUGAGUCCUUAAAAGCCCUGGAGCGGCCUUGGGAGAGGAGCUCAAGUAAAGGGAAAAAAAAAAAAAAAGAAAAAAAGCAAGAAAAAAAGCCCCCAAACCCUAAAGGAAUCAGCUCACUGCCCAGGGCUUCCCUGCACUUGUUGUUGAAACAUUGUCUAAUGUCCCUUUGCACUGCACGGAGCUUUGAAAUCCGCAGGAUCAAAGCCGUAUGGAGGCACUAUGGAUGUGCCCAGGCAAAUUUAAAGGCAUUUUACAAUUAG
rnacentral:lncRNA from 1 species